GGUAUGGCCCAGUUGGCAUGGCACAGUGGUUGAAGUUCUAGAGGGGGUGUGGCUUAGAUUGGGACAAGAGUCUACGCAAGGAGUGUGGCUUGGAACAUUCAGGAGAUUGAGUUUGACUCUAAAGCAGGAAGGCUGACAGGGUGAUUCAGUAAUGGGCCACCCUUGGGGUGAGGGGCGUGGCCAGGGUUCUAGAUAGGGUGGGCCUUAGAAUGGGGCAUGCGUGAUGGUUUCAGAGGGUACAGCCUGCCCCAUCACCCCGCAAUGGAACAGUAAAGAAUAUAUGUUUCAAAGUUGGGCAGGUUUGGUAGUGGCUAGGGCCUAAGGGAUGUGUUUUGUUAGGGUUGGGGGGCAAUAUCCCUCACUAAGGCUAGGCCUGAGGGGGCCUAGGGAGAGCUGAGAGGUAUGGCUUGAAUGGUAAGCGGGGAUCCAGAGAAAGGCACCCACACAUACCCUUCCUUGCCCACCCCCACGAUGGCAGAGUUAGAUAAUCAGAGGACAGAGCUAAUGGCCUGUGGGGCCAGCCUACCCUUCUCCCCUUUUCUCCUACCUCCUCCCUCCCUCCACACCCCACCUGUCCUGGGAUGGUUGGAGAUCCGGUCUGGAGCCCCUAUCCUACACCUUCUGCUGUGUCUGUGAUGUCGGUAGUGCCUGUGACAGUGUGUUGCCAUUUUGUCUGGCUGUGGCCCUUCUCCUUCCCCUUCAGACCCCCCCCCCUUUUCCCUUGCCCUUCGGUAUUGUUUGAAGACUCCCUCCCAGAGGAAGAACACAUAUGAUUCAUUAUCUUCCCCUAAAUAAACUCCUCAAACACCUAGUA